rnacentral:antisense_RNA from 1 species
CUUCGGAGUUCGCCCCCUUUGGGACUCACCUCCGGGAGACCCCGAGGGGGAGAGGGCGCUUCCUCUGCGUCCAUCGCCCUUGCGGCCCCUGGGAGAGCUCUUGUCAGAGCUAUUAGCUCUGCUUUCUAAGCAGAAGUUUCUGUAGACACAGACGGCACCUCUGCUACUGAGUCCAAAGUCACCGCGGCAUACCCAGCUCGGCAGACUCCCUUUAGUAUGAAACUGCUUCCAUCAGUAAAAUAUUCAAUGUCCAGGUCCCCGAGGGGCUGAUCUGCUAAAUGUUUCCGGCCUGAGAACACUUUAUCUACCACGUCCACACAGCAAUGAAGGGGACUUCCUGUGUAGGGUCCAGCCCUAUGGGGGCUUAGCGGGUGUUCUCCCCGUGUGCAGAGACAAGAGAUUGUAAGAAAUAAAGACACAAGACAAACAGAUAAAGAGAAAACAGCUGGGCCCGGGGGACCACUACCACUAAGACAUGGAGACCGGUAGUGGCUCCGAAUGGCUGGGUGCGCUGGUAUUUAUUGAAUACAAGACAAGGGGGCAGGGUAAGGAGGGUGAGUCGUCCAAGUGAUUGAUAAGGUCAGGCAAGUCACGUGAUCAUAGGACAGGGGGCCCUUCCCUUUUAGGUAGCCGAGCAGAGAGAGAAGGCAGCAUACAUCAGCGUUUUCUUCUAUGCACUUUUAAGAAGGAUCAAAGACUUUAAGACUUUCACUAUUUCUUCUACCGCUAUCUACUACGAACUUCAAAGAGGAACCAGGAGUACGGGAAGAGCAUGAAAGUGGACAAGCAGUGUGACCACUGAAGCACCACAGGGAGGGGUUUAGGCCUCCGGAUGACUGCGGGCAGGCCUGGAGAAUAUCCAGCCUCCCACAAGAAGCUGGUGGAGCAGAGUGUUCCCUGACUCCUCCAAGGAAAGGAGACUCCCUUUCAUGGUCUGCUAAGUAACAGGUGCCUUCCCAGGUACUGGUGUUAUCGCUGGACCAAGGAGCCCUCAAGCGGCCCUUAUGUUGGCGUGACAGAGGGCUCACCUCUUGCCUUGUAGGUCACUUCUCACAAUGUCCCUUCAGCACCUGACCCUACACCCGCCGGUUAUUCCUAGGUUAUAUUAGUAAUGCAGCAAAGAUUAAUAUUAAAAGCUAAUGACUAA